rnacentral:rRNA from 1 species
UGGGGAAUAUUGCACAAUGGAGGGAACUCUGAUGCAGCGACGCCGCGUGAACGAAGAAGGCUUUCGCGUCGUAAAGUUCUUUUAUAUGGGAAGAUAAUGACGGUACCAUAAGAAAAAGCCCCGGCUAACUACGUGCCAGCAGCUGCGGUAAUACGUAGGGGGCUAGCGUUGUCCGGAAUCACUGGGCGUAAAGGGUUCGCAGGCGGAAAUGCAAGUCAGGUGUAAAAGGCAGUAGCUUAACUACUGUAAGCAUUUGAAACUGCAUAUCUUGAGAAGAGUAGAGGUAAGUGGAAUUUUUAGUGUAGCGGUGAAAUGCGUAGAUAUUAAAAAGAAUACCGGUGGCGAAGGCGACUUACUGGGCUCAUUCUGACGCUGAGGAACGAAAGCGUGGGUAGCAAACAGG